UCGUCCCACUCGCUUCAACCGCGUCCACGACAAGUGGGGGCGACUGUGACGUCGUGGCACAACAGCUCGCCGCGUAUGCGCCGAGACCAGAGGUCAAAUCUUGCUUAUGCGCACCGGCCGCGCCCACGCGUUCUUACUACUUUAAUUCUUAUUUGCUUAAUUGUACUAUAUUGUUAUAUUUAAAGUCAUUAUACGUAUUUACAUGUUAUACAGUCCACUAGUAUUAUUUACUCCACCUGCUGAGCUAUCGUCGUUACAUAUGGUCCUUCUCCCAAGAAAAAUUGAACUGGACAAAGAAGACAAAGGACUUUGGAGGACAUCGUACACGUCACCGAGUGACUCAGUGAUUAUUAUCAAGUUUCUUCGCUGUGAACAUUGUUACGUCGUGAUAUAUCGGCACGGCUUGAGACUUUUCGGCCGUCUUAGCUGACGUCACCCAACUGACACGAGAAGAAACGGAAUUUGGGCUACUCAUCAUUCGUCAUCAUAACGGACAGCAAAUACACGUGUUCGGAUUGUCGUCGUGCAUUGAGAUAUCUGACAAGAAUACUCCUCGGCACAGUCAUCAUCAGUGGUUUGCACCGGAAAACAGUGAGCUCGUUCCAAUUCCUUAUUUAAUCAUCUCAUCAUCAUAAUCAUAUUCAUUAUCAUCCAUAUCCUGCAUUUCAUUCAUUUUUUACCUCAUAAUAAUUAAAGAACGGUGUUACAUUUUUUGCAAGUCAUCUCCACAUUAUUUCAUCAUAUUUCAUCCCAUUUUACCAUUUAUUUCAACUGUUUCAUCUCUUCAUUCAUUCAUUUCACUAUAAGUUAAUCAUAUCCAUUACAGUGUCGUUUUAUAUUUCAACCAAAAUCGAAUAUUAUUAUCUUAUAACGUUAACAUUACACAGCGAUUAUCAGUGCACAAACGCCUUGCAUUUUUAAAUAGCAAUACGCAUUCUGCUACAAUCUUGCUCGUGCACUUUAUCUUGCAACUCGUUGCUAUCGUUUUAUUGGAAGUGUUAACUUGCUGUUAGUUUAUAUAUUUCCUUAGUGCUUUAUUACCAAAAUCUAUCGCCUUCUCUUAAAAUGUCUGACAUUAAAAGCCUUAUUAAGAAACGUGCUUCAAUUAAAGCAAAGCUUACGCAAUUUUCUUCAUACUUGAACAUUUCCAAGUCAUGUGAACAGUUGAGCGAAGUUCAGAUUGUUGAGGUUGAGUAUAGACUUAAUACUAUCGAAAAUCUAUAUGAUAAAUACGACGUGUUACAGGCCGACAUGGAAGAGAUGGUGGACGACCUUAGCGAGCAAUAUGCGGAGCGUGAGGAGUUCGAAAAGCAGUACUACAGCUUGGUGGCUGCAGCACGUCAGCUGAUCAGCAAUGCUCGCAAGCAAGCUUCAGGGAACUCCAUAGCCGAGCGCUGGUGAAUGUGUCGGAUGCUAAAGGCAACGUUCAUACUGCACGAACCCUGCUGGAUAACGGGAGUACGACUAACCUUAUGUCACAGGAGUUGGCUCGUAAACUUAACAUUUCCACCUAUACAGUCGAGUCUAAGGUAACAGGCAUUAAUGAUCAAUCCUCUUAUUGUACACAAGGUUGUUCGAUUUCAUUAAAGUCAGUCAAUAGUGAAUAUGACAUCGAUAUUGAUUGCUAUGUCGUGUCCAAAAUUUCAUCGUGUGUACCAAAUACAUAUAUCGAUGUGCACAAUAUAAAUAUACCUACCAAUAUAGUCCUGGCUGACCCUCAGUUUUACGUUCCAUCUUCUAUAGAUAUUCUUGUAGGUGCUGAAGUCUUUUGGAACGUUUAAGGUACUAGCCGUAUAGACUUAGGUAAAUCCAUGCCUACUUUAUUUGAGUCCAAAUUGGGAUGGCUGUUAUCAGGAGUCAUCAAGCAAUCAAAUUCUUCUUCUCAUUUAUGUUUGCUGGCUGAUACUUUGCAGGCAGACUUAAACCGUUUUUCUAAGCCAGACUCAGUUUCAGCAAAACAUCUCACGCGCGAAGAGCGUUCUUGUGAGGAAUUAUCUUUGAAGUCCACUUACCGUGAUGCGGAUGGACGCUUCGUAAUUAGCAUACCACUUAAGGAAUCUCCUGACAUAUUGGGUGAUUCCUAUAACAUGGCUAAGCGCCGCUUAGCAUUACCCUACACAUUAGGGCUGAACUGGAGGUGCUCAUCACAUACAUUUUCUUUCUCCAUGUCAGAUCUUUGAUUCUAUUGGCUUGGUCGUUCCUUGCAUAGUGGAAGCCAAGAUAAUCAUGCAGCAACUGUGGCUGAUAAAGUGUUCCUGGGAUGAGCCAGUUCCCGAACAUAUUCAGCAUCCACGGGACAGCUUUCAAAAUAGCUUACCUUUUUUAAAUGAUUUUAGGAUGCGUCGGUGGAUCACGUGUGAAUCAUCAUCUUCUGUGCAGUUGCAGGUGUUUACCGACGCAUCUGAAAGGGCGUAUGGUGCUUGUUUGCAUGUCCGCAGCGUAUCGCUUAGUGGUGAGGUUCAUAUACACCUUACUGCUACAAGCAAAUUAGCGCCGGUCAAGUCAACGACCAUCCCCCGACUCGAACUUUGUGCUGCGUUGUUGAGUUCAAGAUUAUACGUAAAGGUCCAGAACGCUCACGUGAACAACUUGCAGCGGUUCCGUCGCAUCGAAUGUUUAAAGCAACAUUUCUGGUCACGCUUCUCACAUGAGUACAUUUUGUGGCUCCAACAACGAACCGAAUGAACGAAAUGGCUCCGAUCGUCAGGGGAACUUACAGAAGGAACCCUUGUCGUCAUUAAGGAUAAAAGCUCACCUCCUCUGUUAUGGCUUUUAGGACGGAUCGUUAAGGUGCUUCCUGGUAGAGACGGCAUUGCACGAGUCGCCGACAUCCGCACACGUAAGGGUGUCAUUCGGCGAGCGUUCAACACUAUUUGCCCGUUACCCGUCGCCACUGCUGUUGAAGACACUUCAACGGGGGGAGUAUGUUGAGUCGUCCCACUCGCUUCAACCGCGUCCACGACAAGUGGGGGCGACUGUGACGUCGUGGCACAACAGCUCGCCGCGUAUGCGCCGAGACCAGAGGUCAAAUCUUGCUUAUGCGCACCGGCCGCGCCCACGCGUUCUUACUACUUUAAUUCUUAUUUGCUUAAUUGUACUAUAUUGUUAUAUUUAAAGUCAUUAUACGUAUUUACAUGUUAUACA
rnacentral:misc_RNA from 1 species